rnacentral:pre_miRNA from 5 species
GCUGAUUCCCUGAGACCCUAACUUGUGACUUAUCACUUGAGUUUCACAAGUUUUGAUCUCCGGUAUUGG